rnacentral:rRNA from 1 species
CGCGUAGGCGGUGGGUUACGUCUGCCGUGAAAUCCCCGGGCUCAACCUGGGAAUGGCGGUGGAAACGGGCUGACUAGAGUACGGGAGAGGGUGAUGGAAUUCCAGGUGUAGCGGUGAAAUGCGUAGAGAUCUGGAGGAACAUCAGUGGCGAAGGCGGUCACCUGGCCCAAUACUGACGCUGAGGCGCGAAAGCGUGGGGAGCAAACA